GAGACGGGGGCCGGGCAGACCGGGCUGAGGCCUCGUCACCGCCCCCCAACCGUGCCGCGCCGUCGACCCCCCAAAGCUGCUGGCAGGGGCGGGGCGCCGGGACCGCCCGGUCGGGCUUGUAGGUGUGCAUUCUCGAAUCCGUGCGUUCAUUCGUUCACUCUGGCGUCCAGCAUUUACUGAGCGCGUCCCGUGUGCCAGGACCGGCGUGUGUGGCCUACCGAACAAGGAUUUGAAGAAAUCGCAAAGGUUUCACCAGUCGGAAAGAGAAAACGUAAAGUGCAGCACCUCAUCUCAGGAUUUCUACAGGCCACAGCGGCUCGUGGAAGACUCCAGUCCACGGAACCCAGAGGUGAAAAUGCAUUUAUUU